rnacentral:rRNA from 1 species
AUGGCUGACAUGCGCGGCAUGGCCGAAGCCGACGAGAGAAGAGAGAGAUGGAGAGAAAAGAGAGGACGGGAAGGAGACGAGACGCCAGAGGAGAGAGAAGGGGGUGGUGGUCACUUCAACAGGCUGCAGCGCGGCGCCGCCCCGGCCGCUGAGCCUGCCCGACCGCCCCGUCGCCAAGUCGCCACCCCACUGACUGCCUUGGGCUCGCCCUUUAAACCAAUUCAGAGCCAGCGAUUGUUGCCCACAUCGCCGAACCUGGCUCCCCUUCUCCACCCCAGCAAGCACACGCGCUUGAAGGCGCCCAGGAGCUCGCCGGCAACACUCAGCAGACGCAGGAGAGUUGCGUGCCUGGUGCGUGUGAAUGUGUGGACGCGAGGCAUUGGAGGCCUCAGCAAGGUUUGGUUUUGGCUCCAAUUUUUUUUCAGAAUCAUAUGCUAA